CUAUUUGCACGGCAUCACCGGGAAGCCUGUUAGAAACGCAGAGUCUCGGGACUCCGCUCAGAUCUCCUGAAGCAGAAUCUGCAUUCCCACCAGAUUCCCAGGACAUAGGUGUGCACAGGAAGGUUUGGGAAGCCCUGGGCUACGGGGCAUCUUUUUCAGUGGCUACCCUGGCUCUUGUAGGGGAGGAAAAAGUUUUCUUCUACUCUCUUAGGGUCCCUGGGUGGAUCUGAAAAUUAAACUGACAAAGACAGAUUAACAGAAGAAAAGCAUACAAAUCUAUUUAAGAUACAUUUUAUGUGAAAUGCAAGUCUUCAUUAAAAAUUGAAGGUCUGAAGAAACGGUUAGACCCGAGUAUUUUAUGCUGGGUUUGAUGAAGGGGAGACGGUCGUGGAGGAAUGUGAAAGGUCAAGGCCUACGAGCUUAAGAGACUCAACACGCCGUGGAGCCACGUUUCGGAGUAGCACGUCCUGAAGCCAUCACGCCCUGUGUGAAACUUGGAGAAGUUUCACAGCCCAGGAUAGAUUGUCCCUUACCCGUUGAACCAGUCUCUCGGUCCUGGCCAUUUCUAUGGAAAUGAAAGAAAAAGGUUAAUGGUUAGAAUAAACUAUAAACUCAGUUUUUGAGUCCAGAGGGCAGUCAUUGGAGAAGAUUUCUAGACGUUGGGCUCAAACCAUCUUCAGAUGGCAUGAGGGUGGGCAGUGGCAAUCUGACAGACUUUCCUGGUUUGCAGUUUGAGUGUCUCUGGUGAUGUCAUCAUACGUUCCUGCAAAAUGGAACUUUCUGAGUGGCCCACACAGCAACAGGCAUGAAGGUUGUCCAGACGUGAGCUGGGUGGUGAUUUCUCUGAGUUUGUGUCAAGUGGUUCAGCUUCUGCUUGCGGGGUGUCAGGAAAAGGGCAGUUUUAAUUUUUAUUGAUUCGAGUCAGAAGGGUGGGAGAAAAACUGGAAACAUUAGUUUGGAACGUGAUAGCCAGAUAUCGGAGGAAAUUAGAAGAAUUCAGGAUGCAGUCUAGUUUUUUCCCUCAGCUUUAUUGAGACGUAAUUCACAUAUAACAUUGUAUAAGUUUAAGGUGUACAACACAGUGAUUUUGUACAUGUAUAUAGUCCAGUUUAUAGGCAGGUAGCAAACCUUAAAGACAAUGAACAGGCCUAGAAUUUAAUGCCCACAAGGGUGUGUUGUAGUUUUCCAUUGAAACAUCAUUUUUCUCUCUACAGUCACACGCUUUUUUAUCAAAGACAAUCAAAGGAAGACUAAUUUGUUUGCAAAAUGAGUCUAAUCUCAUUAAAUGUGUUCUGAUUAUCUACAUAAAUGCAGCAAGAAUAGCAACUGACCAUGUAGGUACCUCGAGUUUGCUUUGCUGGAACUUUUCAUAAGGAAUCUCAGAUUGGACUUUUAAAAGCCUCUUGAGGCUAGGAAGCCAAGCCAAGGAUUCGCCAUCAGACUUUGCCUGGGAUAUCUAUAGAUUUGGAAGAAACAAGCUGUCGUCUGCUCAACAUAAAGUCUUCCGCUUUUUCACCAGUACUCAUGGGGGACACUUUUAUGAUGCUUAUUUCGCCUGAGAGGUACCAAUAGGAUGUUUGUCUUAGGGUGAGACCUUGCUAAAAACCUUCUUAAAUACAAAAGCUUUUCUAAAUCUCAG
rnacentral:lncRNA from 1 species